rnacentral:tRNA from 1 species
GGCCUUGAAAGUGUAAACA